GUGAAUCAUCGAAUCUUUGAACGCACAUUGCGCCCCUUGGUAUUCCAUGGGGCAUGCCUGUUCGAGCGUCAUUUGUACCCUCAAGCUCUGCUUGGUGUUGGGCGUUUGUCUUGUAGACUCGCCUUGAAUAUAUUGGCAGUCCACCGCAUGUCGUGGAGCGCAGCACAAUGGCGCUUUCGUCUUGAGGAUGGCCGCCAUCAAGCUUCUAUCGUUUGACCUCGGAUCAGGUAGGGAUACCCGCUGAACUUAAGCAUAUCAAUAAGCGGAGGA
rnacentral:misc_RNA from 1 species